CCUACGGGUGGCAGCAGUCGAGAAUUUUUCUCAAUGGGGGAAACCCUGAAGGAGCGACGCCGCGUGGAGGAUGAAGGUCUUCGGGUUGUAAACUCCUGUCAUUUGGGAACUAGUACCAGAAGAGGAAGAGACGGCUAACUCUGUGCCAGCAGCCGCGGUAAUACAGAGGUCUCAAGCGUUGUUCGGAUUCAUUGGGCGUAAAGGGUGCGUAGGUGGCGCUGUAAGUCAGGUGUGAAAUUUCGGAGCUUAACUCCGAAACUGCAUUUGAUACUGCGGUGCUUGAGGACUGGAGAGGAGACUGGAAUUUACGGUGUAGCAGUGAAAUGCGUAGAGAUCGUAAGGAAGACCAGUGGCGAAGGCGGGUCUCUGGACAGUCCUGACACUGAGGCACGAAGGCCAGGGGAGCAAACGGGAUUAGAUACCCUUGUAGUC
rnacentral:rRNA from 1 species